rnacentral:misc_RNA from 1 species
AACUUUUAACAAUGGAUCGCUUGGCUCUCGCAUCGAUGAAGAACGCAGCGAAAUGCGAUAAGUAAUGUGAAUUGCAGAAGUCAUUGAAUCAUCGAAUUUUUGAACGCACCUUGCGCUCCCUGGUAUUCCGGGGAGCACGCCUGUUCGAGUGUCGUGAAAUUCUCAAACCGGGAUGCUCUUUUUUGUUUCUCGGCUGCGUGUUGGGCUUUGCAGUUCCUUUGGUUGGGAUGGCUGGCCUCAAAAGCAUUAGCUGGCUUUUAAUGUGGCAUUGGUUCUACUCAGCGUGAUAAUGAUCUGACCGCCGAGGACAUCUUUCGAGAUGGCCAAUUCUCAUUUGGGCUGCUUCUAAUUUUGGUUGAGCAGAUUCUGAAUCUUCUCCACUUUUCAGCUUUUGACCUCGAAUCAGGUGGGACUACCCGCUGAACUUAAGCAUAUCAAUAAGCGGAGGCU